UUAGCCCUGAAUGAAGGCCAGCAACGUGUUGUAGCUGUUGGUUUCAAACAGUGGCUAAAAUCAAAGUCUUCACAUGGUGUGUUGAGUCUCCCAACCUUAAAAUGGGGAGUCAGCUUGUUUUAAAGAAACACUU